CGGGAAGAGCUCAAAUUUGUAAGCUGGCGUCGUUGCGGCGUCCGCGUUGUAAGCUCGAGAGCUGUAGUCCGUGCCGGUGCGCGUACAAGUCCCUUGGAAUGGGGCAUCGUAGAGGGUGAGAAUCCCGUACUUGACGCGGCAGCCGGUGCUUUGUGAUGCGGCCUCGAC
rnacentral:rRNA from 1 species